UUGUUGUGCAACUUGUUUAGACUCUUAAGUAGUGAAGUGUAAACUUUUAUCAAGCAUCACCGUUUCUUUUCUGAUGGCCUGAAUCAAAUUUGCACUAGUGUGAGAAGAGGACCAAGUUGAGCACAACUCGGGGAGGUUUAUCACAACUUACGUUGUUCUCCACUGCUUUUCACUUGUUACCAUUUUGCUUUUCAUAUUUGAGGUGGUACUGUAUUUCACUUGUCAGCCAAAUAGAAAUGGACAGAAAGAGCCGAGGUAUCACAUUUCUGAUGCCCUUGUAGUUGUGCAUUAGAUGUUGUGCAUUAGAUGUUUUAUUUCAAAUAAUUGCUUGAUCACUCAGUAUGGGUACAUCUCCGUUGGGUGUAGUCAACAAGGAACUCCUAUGACACAACGUCUGUCAUAGACUACAGCGACCGCCAAUACGGGGGAACCCCUCUCCUUUAUAAGGCGCUGUCGCUCCCUCCUGCCUCACUUUUCAUUCUUCCUUACGAUGUCGUAAUACUGUUAAUAUACUCUCCUCAGCAUUGACUUGGACUACUGUUUCCUGCUGAACUGUUGAUAGGUGAACCCGUGUGGUUCGCGGUUGAGUGUAGGAAUCUAGCUUUUUGUCGUGUGUUUAGCUUUUUACCCGAAAGUAACAUUUCCUCUGUCUCUGGCUAGCUAGCGUCACACAGCUAGUUCUACCCUACCAGCGCACCUAGCUACCACUUCCUGCUGCUUAUUCCCAAUGAUGUGGAGGAAGGAAGAAACUUGGCUUGGUCCUGCUUCAGGUGAAUUUAACCCAGCUAGCUCACAAAGAAUGCACCUUCUCUUCAGCUAGCAGUGUGCUAGCACCAGCUAGGUUACUAACCCUUUGGGUGAAAACCAGCUUCCUAUGCCAGGACUAGCUAGCUACACAGCUAAGUGUCGGCGAGCACACGACUAGAGCUCUCUCUUGGCGUAGGCAGGAGGAAGGGAUGCUACCUAACUUUCCAGCGGCCUUGCUGACCAGGUUGACCGAUCUUGCCUAUAGGUACUGCGGUCUUGGGAGAUUCUCUAGCCUAUAGAGCAACGCUCAGCGUGCCACCCUAGGCUUGUAGCUCACUCCAACAGUGAGCUACACUCAACACUGGCUCUCUUUCCAGUGUGCUUGCAAUAGCUAGGCAACUAACCCACAAGGUGAACUCCAGCUAGCUACCGACAGGACUUCUAGCUACACAGCUAAGCAUCAGCAGCACACACACAGCCCCAGGGUUUUCCUGUCGAACGCUAGCUAGCUAAAGCCAGGACUAGCUCCAUAGCUAACGUCGGCCAGUACAUGCUCAGAGCUAGCUCCCUCUGCAAGCUCUUGCUACCUACACUGGGUAGCAUUAUUUCCCCCCGCUGGAUACACUGACCGGUCUUGCCUCUCGGUACUGCAGUCGUGGGAUAUUUUCAGCCUGUAGAGAGUCAACCUCUCAAGCUAACAGAGUGCUAACUACAGCUAGGCAUUUAGCCCACCGGGCUACUACUAGCUAGCUGAACUGUAAGUACUCCAUGGUCAGGCAGGCUUUGAGUAACAUGUAUAACCCGGCUGACAAAACAAUUUCUUCCGGAGUUAUGGCUACUGUAUUUUCUUGUACUGGGCGAACUAAGCCAUGCACUCAAAUUCCUGGAAUUACUAGCUAGUUAUUGCUAAAACUGACCGUUUACACCGCACAGUACUAUGGUCAAAAGAGGCUUUCCAGACCGAAGAGUAACACAGCUCUUCUCAGCUAGCAUGGUGCUAGCUAUAGCCAGAAGAGUAAGGCACUGGGUGAACACUGGCUAGCUAAUACCAAUUAUGAGAACCUCAUGGCUUAACGUCGUCUAGCAAACGAUUAACCCGGGUAACAUGCCCAGGCAGCUCUCGACCACCCUGAUUACUGCAAGUAUUGUAUGGCAUGAACCGAGAACCGGUCAAUGCUAGCUUAAGUUAUCCUACCAGCCAUCCCGACAAACACCAACUAGCUAGCUAACUACCGCCUGGAUAUUACUAGCCUAACCCUCAUACAUACUUAGUCUAGCACCCAGUUUCUUUGUACUUACUGUUUGAACUGGUCCCAAUUCUAUGAUCCGGUCCACAAGAUGGCAAAGACAGGCUAGCUGAUGCUAGUUGUAACCGGCACAAGUGCCCUCCAAGCUAAGCUCUCCCCUUGGUUCAGGUUCAAGCUGAGGCUGGGCGGGUAGAAUUCAGUCACCAACAAGCACUGUCCCCACCUGAUGCUUACAGCACCUCACCUCCAGAAAUAUAUUGCUCUUUGUCCCACUUGCCAAAGUGCCACAGAGCCUGUUUUUUUUUCUAUAAAUCAAAAUCAAAUCAAAAUUCGUCGCGCACACUCUCUUUUGCAAUGUUAUCGCAGUUGCAGCGAAAUGCUUAUGUUUCUAGCUCCAACAAUGCAGAAAUAUCUAGCAAUACAAUAACAAUGCACACAUAAUCCAAAAGUUAAAAGAAAUUAAGACCACAGAAUUAGCAUUAUCAGAACGAGCAAUGUCAAAGUUCAGAAUAUAAAUAAUCAUUCACAGGAAGAUGGGAAUGGACAUGGGGAUGAAAGGUAGUGGAAUGGUAGUGGUUGAGAGACAGAGGUAAUGAAUACACUGUACACUACUUUAACUGAUAGCACAAGUAGAGCAACAAGACUAUUAAAGGGAAGGAUGAAAAUGUAUAUGCUACCUGCACAUAUGACAAUACAGUUAUACACAAAGACAGCAUACAACAAUAGUAACAACUAACUAUUAAGAACAAUAUAUAGAUGUCACACAACUCACUUUGGGCACGCACAAAAUCCCACAAGUCCAGAGAUAUGAGUGAGUCCAGUUGUUGAUGGGCAGAGACAGACUGUUUCUCUCUGCCACUUGAGGGAGACUGCAAGUAUUGUGUGACCUGCAGUCAAGAGGAUAGGCAUAUAUCCGGCCCCCUAGUAACCUCCCUAGCAACCUAUCAGGGCAAAGGUCACACAGGUUAGAGAGGCAGGUUUAUGGUGUAGUUGUACCAUGGGGUGAUACAGCCUGACAGAAUGCGCUCAAUGGUGCAUCUGUAGAAGUUUGUGGGUAUCCGGGGCCAAGCCAAAUUUAUUCCGCCUCCUGAGGUUGGAGAGGCUCUGUUGCGUCUUCUUCACCAUGCUGUCGGUGUUAAGGGACCAUUUUAGUUCCUCAGUGAUGUGCACACAGAGGGACUUGAAGCUUUUGACCCUCUCCACUGCGACCCAGUUGAUGUGGGUGGGGGUGUGCUGUCUCAGCUGUCUAGUGAUGAGCAUAGAGGGCACUAUGCUGUGGAAGGCUGAGCUGUAGUCAGUGACCAGCAUUCUUACCUGCGUAUUCCUCUUGUUCAGGUGGGAUAGGGCGGUGUGCAAUGGCGAUUGUGUCGUUCGUGGAUCUGUUGGGGUGGGUCUAAGGUGAUUAUGAUCCUUAGAGUGACGCUCUUUAACGCUGCCAGUGGGGACGGCCUAGAGGCCAGCAGCAGAGAGAAACGGCACAGCUCACAUAUGUCUGGCCCUGCCCCCAUUUGGCAGAAGAUGAUUUCCUGCAUAACGAAGGAGGGGUGCCUCUGCUUUUCUAGUGCCCUAUCCUCUAUGCAGCAACCCAUCGUUUCGUACCCACGAGGAGGGAGGGGGCCCACUCAUUACUCAACAUGCAGUACCCGUAGGAAAGAGGGCCCCCAAACUCCUGUAACCCCCGCCAACUCGGCCCACGUGGCAGCCCGCUGGGUCCUGCAUCAAAAAGCCACGUGGGGAUGUUUAGAAGGGGACAACGGAUAAGCCAUAAGGAACUCGGGUCCCUGGCUACGCAGCCGACUGUCCAUACACAGGCGAAGCCCCAGAACCAGAGCAAGCCUGGAGGUUAACAAUCCUUCGAUGCAGUCACAGCAACAUUCCACCCUCCUAAAGCCCCCUGGUGGCCAGGAUGGCCAGUGACUCUAUUUUGUUCAAACCCAUGUAGACACACUAGAAGCUCCCUGCCCUACCCUCUCUCCAGUUCAGUGUAGACUUAUGUCCCCACCCUGUGGUAUGAGAGAAAUGCUACUACGUUUGUUCUACCCAUCUACUACACAGGAACUUGUCUUUGGCCUCGUUAACAGUGAGAUCCGCACCUCGCCCCCCGAGUGCUGCCCCAUUCAUAGCUCUCCCCACUAUGUUGUUCCAGCCAGGGCCAGAAGACGAUGUGUUCGCUCUCCCUCCAUACUGCUUAGGUCAGAAAGGAGCAGGACGGCAGUACACCAGUUGCCAUCAAGCGCCAUCCCCGUGCACUACCCCUCUUUUAUAACCUUUUUCUGUUACAUCCAGGCCCCUCGCUAACAGCACAGAGCUAAUUUAUUAUAAUGAAAGAGUUGACACCUCGUUUGCGCUGCUAGAGGGCAUCCUUGCCUCAGGCGAACGACGGUCUCGGCACCUAUAGCAUGCACCCCUACUGGCUGGGAAAGAUUGUUGCACAUGCACAGUCUCCCCCGGGUGAUGUACAGGGUUGCUUAGGAACGGCAGGCAUCAGCCCCGAUGUCUUCGCUUUUCGGUGGCUUUCGGGAAUUCGUCUCUAUUGCCACAUCCUUUUAUUAGAGCCAGGGAACAUGGUGUAUUUGCUUCUUGGUUUUUGAAAAAGGAGGAGGGGAGCAGGUGUUGUCGGACUAGGCCCCGGACAGCUAUCCUUUAAGCCUGCAGUGCUAUUCUGCCUCUUCCUUGUACUUUGCAUUUGAGCUACUACCUGCUUUGUUCUCCUUCAUAGGAAAACAAGCAAUAAGGAGGGUGCAGCAGAGGGGCUGCUCAGAUUAGGGAUGUGACAAAUUGGAGGGGAAAAAAUCAUACAGUUUAAAUGCCCAUUUUUUUGUGAUUGUCUGUUUAAAAACAAUAAGAAAAAAUGCAUACAUUCCAUGUGUAUUCACAAUGCAGCUGCGCAAUGGUUUGGGUCUCGAGGUGCGUCCCUUUCAGAUGGUUAAGCAUUGCACCUCUACUAACAUUGCUGUACCUCAAUACAUUGCUGUACCUCAAUUCCUCCUCCCAAAUGUUGAAUUUCCUUCUCAUUUAUCUUCUCAAGGUAUUGCCAUACAGGACUUGGUUGCUGUCGCUUGUCUUUCUGACAUUUUUCCAACUGUUGAUGGUGACGAUGAUGUAGUGGUGGAGAGUCGACUCUAGAAUGGUUGAUUCUAUGACUCCUUGAGUGUCGACUCCCAUUUCUGAGUGUCGAGAUUCGAUUCAGUAAUUUCUGGAACUGAGGAGACUGAUUAGUUGCUGUACUUCCGAGAACACAAACACUUGCAUCUUUCAUAGAGGGCUAGCGAGCGAUGGAGAGAGAGGGGACGGGUUAUAGUAGGCAGGUACGAAUCCCUUGGGCUGGUCACUAAAGUUCUCCAUCUACUUAGUUAACUGUCCUUCAACGUAAUUUCCAUCCUAUCCUACUAUAGAAGGAUUUGACUGCAUUGACGACUCGCAACUGCUAGGGCACAUUUGCCAUUUUCAUCUGGCAGACUGGUUCCCAGACUGUUAGAGACAGCAGGCACGCUUCACCAUUGCUGCUAGCUAAAGCCAUAGCACCGUUGUGCAUCAUGCACAUCCUACACCACUGACCCGGGCUGGCCUCCAUGACCUGCUGUUCGUUACAUUGGUGCUAGAUAUGGGAUGGUUACCAAGGCACCAUUUGAACACAACUUGCGUGUGUUUCCUAAGCUUAUGCCUCGGUGGCAGAUCGCCCUGCUCUGUUCCUCUGUAUUGCACUCUUAAAACCGAGACUGAUUCAGACGUCUAGCCUCCACACUGUUGGUAGGCCUGGCUGUCACCAGAUGGUAUACAUGGGUGCUGGAGCAAUAUGACGAGGGAAGCCUCCCUCUAGCAGUGCGCUAAGGAGGGAUUGUGAUACACGCACCAACAUCUCCAGCCCUAUGGCCCUGUUUUGGGCCCUGCCGUUCACUUGGGUUCCAGUACAGCAGCCGCAGGCAGGCGGACUUCGCCUACGACCAGUGACCAAACAGAUAGUCCCACCCUGGAACAUCUAGGGUGCUUGAGAGUAAUUUUCACAGCUGCUGGAAAGCGUGGAAAUUAGUUUUUCUCAUUUAAUACCGCUUUAAUUGGCCAUUUGUAUCCACAAAGCGGGUGAGUGAGCUGCACACACUGUCAGUUUCACCACUAGUGCUUGUUCCUUGCCCUGGGGUUAUCCACGGUUAUUUCAACAUAAAUCAUUUUUUUUGUGCUUAAAGAUUAGUAGGGCUUCUAUCACCUCUCUUUAGAGCCGUUGGCUUUUCACCCACCACUUAUUUCUCCAUGGAGGAAUAUUGUUUCCACUGCUUGUGCUCCACAUAUUUUGUGCUUCUACGUGGACAGGAUGAGAGCCUUGAAAGGACUUCCCUAAUGUAGGGAGACCCAUUUCUCGACCAGGCAUUUAUCCUUUGGAUAAGUGGAGGCUAUUAUAAGGCAUAUAAUAGCAAGGGGUGACUACCUCUGGAGGGCAUCAGAGCUCAUUCCACCAGAGGUGUGGCUGUGUCACAGGCAUGGUUUAAGAAGGUAUCUCUCUGUUCAGAGAUAUUUCUGGGAUAUUAUUCCUCCAUAAAUUUUACCGAUCUCACCGGCACGUGUGCUUCGAGUCAGCACAUCUGAGAGUUGAUUCUGUCUAGACUACCUGGAGAGUGUACGAGCCCUACAGGAGUUGGCUAAAUCCCAUACUGAGUGAUCGAACGAUUAUUUGAAAUAGAAUGUGAAGUUACUUAAUCCUGGUUUUAUGAUAAUGACUGUCACUUAGCUCGUUGCCCUUCACACAAGCUGCGUAUGGAAGAACGUAUACUUGUACAAGUAAUGCAGGAGGGGGCGUCAGCGCCUUAUAAUGGAGUGGAGUCUAUUGGCUGUCGCUCCUGUCUGUCUACGACAGAUGUUGUGUGAUAGGAGUUCCUUAUUGACUACGACCAAUGGAGACAUACCCAUACAUACGGAGUGACCUCACUCAUCUUAUCCUAGAACCGUGAUUACACUAAGUAACCUUACAUUUCGCUCCCUGGUAAUUGAUGUUUUGUUUAAAUGAGUUGUCUUUUUUGAAAUUGGAUUUUGCUUAUGGUAUCUAUGCAGAACAAAUUAAUUGAUUGAAGACAGAGUUAUUAGCAAUCUAAUAGGCAUAAGCAAGUACCUAAACUAAGUACCUACCAUGCUUAUUUGUACGGUACCAUUUUUAUAGCUUUUUCAGCAAAGAAAAUAAGCAUUUUGACAUGUUUCAUUCGCUACUUUUUGUUGAACAUUUUAGUUUGGGUCUUCCACUUCACAGAUGAGAAUGCAAAUGAUAUAUUCUGCAUGUUGGCUUUGGCAGAAACGGUAAAAAAGCAUGACAAAAGAGAAACUUGAGGAUUACGCUGCAUAUAUAAGAACAUUAACCCCUAUAUGUGACUCCCAUGGAUGUGUCUGAGGUUGAUUAUUUUUACUGCUGAAAGUUGAUGAUUUCAUGAUUCAACUGCCUCUAUUAGAACAGCAUGUCUGCCACCAGAAUGUAUUUCAUCACAUCGCCAUAGAGUACUAUCAUAAUCUCAACAUCUUCAUAUGAACCUCAGCAUCGACCACAUUGUUUUUGAUGACACCCUUACAUCAUACUCUAGGUGUUUCACUUCAAAAUCCAAGGGACGUGGCAUGCGAUUUGGAGUUUGGUUCAGUACUGUUAAUGUCUCUCUCAUAUUGAAUAUUUGUGUGUGUGUGUGUGUGUGUACUUGUCAAUCGUUUCCCACUCAUUGUCAUUGGAAAAGUCCAUCAGUUUGCCCACCAGCUUUUCUGGAUGUAUAGUGUCAGAAUUUCAGUGAUGUUGUAGAUGUCGGCUAUACAGUUUACCUGUUAGUAGUCAAUGUCAAGUGAGCUUUUCUUGUGAGUAAUUCCCUUUGGAUGUAGCCAUGACAUUAUCCAGAAUUUUUUUUUUUUUUGCACUUUACUUACAACUUUAGAACAUUGAACCCUGGUAUUUGUUUCACCCCCCUCUGAGUGACUGUUAUGUGCACUGGACUUGUUUUCCCCUGUAUUCGGUCAAACUUGCCUUCUUGUUAAAAAAAAAAAAGUAUUUUUGAAAAGCAUAUGUGUAUUGUCUAUAAAAGAGGUGAUUUUUAUAAACUUUGUAUUUUUGGAUAGAAAUUAGAUUUCUCACUGAGCAACAGAUACAGCUGGACAUGUUUUCAAGCUACAUAGCUUUGAGUAUAAUUCAUGCAGGGAGAAGUAAGCAUGAAAUAGGGAAGCCAUUGGUUGUACCACCAUUGAUGCAUCAAGGGGUGCUGUGGUAAAUCACACUUUAAUAUUACAAUUUGUCAUGGACAGGAGUAAGAACAGUCAUCUUGUUGUGCAAAGAGUAUACAAACAACCCCCAUUAUUAUCAUAGAAUAUACACUAUUUAACUGUGUAAUUUGCUAGCCACAGAACCAGGUGUGUAAAUUCACCUGAAAGAAAUACCACUUGUGGUGCGAUUAUGUCAAGAUGGGGUCACCUGUGGAGAAAUGAGGGAAUCCUUUCAAAGCCUGGUUUUGGUUUUCUUUUCUUUUUGCAGGACGUAACAUAUCAUUGUGCACAAUUUUCAGUGACCCGUUUUGGCUUGUGAGCACUACUUUCUAAACUACUGGCUGAAAUUAUACUAAACUUUUAUAACGCAUCUUUAAUGUGCAGCUCAUACAGUAGCAGAAAGCAUAAUGCAUUGUGAGUGCACACAAAUUAUGGUGACUUUGUGCUAUGUUGGAGUUUGUUAUUUGAAAGUUAACUAAAUGCUUGUCUCAUAUGUUGGUGAAUCCUCUUGUUCCAUCAUAUUUCACUAUGUUCACAGUUAAUACAUGCAGCAUCACCAUUUACCAUAGAUACAAGGGAGUUCCUUAAAUGAUCUGUUGAUUCAGUGUCAGCUGGUCAAGCAUGCAAAACAUUAUCGGUUAUAGAUCUGAAAAUGAGAACUGUUUUGAAUUCAAUGUCGUCUUCUGAUGUUUAGCACUUGGUUUUUGUUUUUGUGACACUUUACUUUUACAUACUUAUUUGUUUUCUUCCGCUCGCUCUAGUACUUAAACAACUUAAGCUAUUAAGACGAAACCAAUUUCCAAAUGUGAAGACUGCCCCAACUUAUAUUGCUUUUGAAAAUAUUUGUGAUAUUAUUUAUACCUGAAUUAAAUACAUUUGCUGUUGGUGAUUUAUUUUAUGCAAAUGUGUAUAUAUUCCAAUUCUUUAGGAACUUAGUUUAACUAACUAUAUACAAUUGCAUCAAAUAAAAUGCACACCACAUUUUCUUCAGGAAAUAUACUUUUCUAGUUUAGCUUGAUUUUUAUUUUUUGUUUUUUUUAAUGCAAAAUAUUAAUUGUAGACUAAGGAAGAAAAGUGGAAUAGACCUUUGUUUAAAUGUGGUUUAAUGUUAUGUUUUCCUUGUUUGGUAAAUUGUUUUUGUUUUUGAUUCGAACAGUGGCAAGGCCUCACACACAAACUGGAUUGUCAAUCCAAAAGCAACAGAUUUUUAUCAGCCUUUUAUGCACAUGUAGAUGCAAUUUGUUGGUACGUACUUAUACAUUUGAUCUUAUGAGCUAGAGAUGAUGCCCACUGAAGUCUAUUAUUUUUGUUGAGUGCGUAGACUGGCUGUUUAUAUUGCUUUUCGGUAUAAAUGUUUUUGUGAUAUGUCAAAAGUGAAAAUUGUUGUUAUAUGCACUGAGAGUAAUGUGCUGCACUAUGUCAUUGUGGCUCUGUUCUUCUGUUCUGUCUUUCUGACUUAGAAGUAUCGGUUAAUCUAAAGUUUUUCAGACUGAUCCAAACUCCAAAUUGCUCCCUGUGUUUUUACAAUCAGUUGUUGUCUUUUCUUUAAAACAAUGUUUUCUGUGUUUAUGUAGUAAAUCUGACUGAUUUGAUACGUCUAUUAUUACUGCCACCAUUUUUGCACUAAUAUUCAGCUAUUCUAAUGGUUUACACUCAAACGUUUACAGAAGCAACCGUUUACAAAGAAUGGAGCAAGUUUUGAUGUUUUUUUGUGUGUGUAGGUUCAUGUAAUUGAUAUAAAUAAGGAGGAAUUUGGGGAAUAUAAACUGGACCCUUGCCACCCACACAAGAUACUGUAAACCCAUUAGCUUCCCUUUUGACACCAGACAGGUAUUACAUAGCCAAACAUGGCCAUCUCAAAGUUUUAACUGUCUGGCAAUUGACAGCUUCCCUUAAGUCAUGGCUGUGACAAUGGAGCUGUCCAAUUCUGAAACUAACAGAGAUCCAGGCUAAAUAGUUGCAAAGGAUAGGGAAAAUAACAACUAUAUUUACCAGUUUUUAGAAGAUAUAAAGUUGUAUAUACUUCCAAUAAUAUAAAUAUAUAGAAAUGUGAUUUGUAUGUUCCCUUUUACAGAGAGUGAGUGUGUAAGUGAUGGCUAUGUGCUAAGUUGUUUUGAGUGAAUGGAAAAGUCAGCCGUUGCUUUCUCUCACAGGCUAUGAACCAGCGUUUCCCAAACUCCGUCUCCGGCACUUUUUUUUUUUUUCCCCUAGCACUACACAGCUGAUUAAAAUCAACUAAUCAUCCAGCUUUAAUUAUUUGAAUCAGCUGUGUAGUGCUACGGCAAAAAAAAAACGAAACGCUGCUGUAAGCCGUUAAAUGUGCGAGUUGCUAUUUUACCUUCAUUCCCCUGUGUUGUCAGAUGAGUUAUCAUACUAUUGUUGGUUUUUUACAACGGGUGAACCAUUAAGGAAACCGAAGUUCAUAAAUCAUCCCUUUAACUCUUGUUUAAUGUUCAAGUGAUGCACUUGUUUAGAGCACUUUUUCUGUCAUUUACUAAAAUGUGUUUCUGUCAAAGUUUUAGAGUUAAAUACUCCACUUUCCCACUGUAUCUCCAAGUUUUAGUUUUGUUAGAUUUGAGAAUUACAUCCAUUUAUAACAGUGCACUUGUCUAUGAAUUGUUUACAUUUAGAAAAGGAGAAUAUUUAUGAGGAAACCACAAUCUGCUUUAUCUUAACAGUUUGUUUCUUGCUGCAUAACCUACCGCGUAAAGAUUGACAUGUGACUGACUUUUCCUGCUUGAUACCUUGAAGUAACUCUGUGUUUAUCCUACAUUCAUUUAACGGUGGCGGACCGCUGCUGCUAAAUCGUUGACGACAAGGCAACAUUUUUUGCUUUUCGGGAUGGUAAUGUUUUAAGUGUAAACUUAAAUGACCAAAACCAGAUAGAAAGGUCAUGAGGCUAUAUAUUUUUAAAUUAGAUCAUCUUUGAAAACUAACACCAAAAUAAAAACUAGACAGUCAGGGAGAAUCUAAAAUUCCAAAAAUGGCAUGGGGCCCCCAUUCAUUUUGUUAUACUAUCUGAGUGACUCAUAUUAUAAGAACAUGGCAUAAGUCAUGGUAAAAUGUGUAGAAUUGCAGUAAAUUAGCUUUAAAGCGGCAAUUUUCUCUGUGGCCAAGUAGAGGGCCUUAAAAAACCCACCCACCUCCCCCGAUAAUGUUGCCACCGCUGCUGAAAAUAAUCCUAGCGGAAGCACUUAGAAACUCUUUCUCCAUGGUAAUGAAUGACAAAAUAACCCCUAAUGACUCAAAAAGGCUUGAUGUGAUAACUGACUUGCCUAGUUAAAUAAAAGUUUAAAAUGUGUGUGUGUAUAAUAUAUAUAUAUAUAAAUUUAACCAUGUGACUAAGACCUGCUCACCCAAAGCAUCUCCCGUAAGCUCUGACGAAGGCCGUGAGGCUGAUACCUAAAGCUUAUUAAAGAUCAGUGUUACUAUCAAGAGCAGUGUGUGGUUUCCUUUCUCCUUCAUCUCCAGUAGGAUAAAAUGCAGAUCUCAAUAUCAGAAUAUAAAUGUUUAAUUGGUUAGAGGCAAUACAUGUUGAAAGGGUAAACGAAUCAGACAGACCGUAAUUGUUUGAUCAUUCAAUAGUUCCCACAAAAAGACAUGUGCAUUUAAUGGGGGAUGACCCACUCUAGUGGUCCUUUCUUCAUACAACGGCAGCUAAAUUGUAAUAUAAUGUAUUUUCCUUUAGAGUACGAUUUACUUGAACGUUGCACAUGCAUUUGACUGCAAUGUCUGGAGACUACACCUUCUGUACUCACAGCAACAGGACACAGUUAUGCUCAUCAAAUAUGCAAAUCCUAGCAUUCAGCAGCAGUUUGGCAAUCCUGUACUUUUGUUGAGCUGGCCCUUUUUAAAAUGAAUGGAUCAACUCUUGUUCUCUAAAUUGUGCUUUUAUAUAAAAGGGAGAAAGCAGGCCAAAAAAAAUCAAGUUGGCUAUAUUAUGUGCUAAAUAACGGAUGUUAAGCUUCUACUCAAAUCGUACCUAAUGUAUUUUUCUUGUGUGAAGGCUUCUGUCUUAGUAUCUUCGCAUUACUAUUUGUAAAUGAAAUGACAUUAAAUAAAAAUCAAAG
ensembl:lncRNA